rnacentral:piRNA from 1 species
CAGAGAAGCGGGUAGGGAGAGAGUAUC